UGGGGAAUAUUGCACAAUGGGCGCAAGCCUGAUGCAGCCAUGCCGCGUGUGUGAAGAAGGCCUUCGGGUUGUAAAGCACUUUCAGCGGGGAGGAAGGCGAUAAGGUUAAUAACCUUGGCGAUUGACGUUACCCGCAGAAGAAGCACCGGCUAACUCCGUGCCAGCAGCCGCGGUAAUACGGAGGGUGCAAGCGAUAAUCGGAAUUACUGGGCGUAAAGCGCACGCAGGCGGUCUGUCAAGUCGGAUGUGAAAGCCCCGGGCUCAACCUGGGAACUGCAUUCGAAACUGGCAGGCUAGAGUCUUGUAGAGGGGGGUAGAAUUCCAGGUGUAGCGGUGAAAUGCGUAGAGAUCUGGAGGAAUACCGGUGGCGAAGGCGGCCCCCUGGACAAAGACUGACGCUCAGGUACGAAAGCGAGGGGAGCAAACAGG
rnacentral:rRNA from 1 species